UACGUAGGGUGCAAGCGUUAAUCGGAAUUACUGGGCGUAAAGCGUGCGCAGGCGGUUAUGUAAGACAGAUGUGAAAUGCCCGGGCUUAACCUGGGAACUGCAUUUGUGACUGCAUGGCUAGAGUUUGGCAGAGGGGGGUAGAAUUCCACGUGUAGCAGUGAAAUGCGUAGAUAUCAGAAGGAACAUCAGUGGCGAAGGCGGCUUCCUGGACCAAUACUGACGAUCAGGUGCGAAAGCGUGGGGAGCAAACAGG
rnacentral:rRNA from 1 species